rnacentral:rRNA from 1 species
UACGUAGGGGGCGAGCGUUUGUCCGGAAUCAUUGGGCGUAAAGCGCGCGCAGGCGGCGGUGCUGGCCCGGCGUGAAAGCCCCCGGCUCAACCGGGGAGGGUCGUCGGGGACCGCACCGCUUGAGGGCGGUAGGGGCUGGUGGAAUGCCUGGUGUAGUGGUGAAAUGCGUAGAGAUCAGGCGGAACACCCGUGGCGAAGGCGGCCAGCUGGGCCGUCCCUGACGCUGAGGCGCGAAGGCGUGGGGGAGCGAACGGG